ensembl:lncRNA
AAAGUUUAUCCUCAUUGGUUAGUUACGAUAAGAUACAUUAUUGUCAAUUUUUGUGGAAACUACUUUUAUAAGUUAGUUGUGGAAAAAUGUAUAUUUGUCUGUCUCCCCUACGUUAGCUUCUCCAGAACCUUCCAGCAAGUGGAGGGAAGGAGGGAGUAUGAGACCCCAGCUCCUCGCAGGUUCAACCCAAAGCCCACACUCUGGAACACCACUAAACUCCGGAACACCCAGAACACUACACAGCUGCACAGCUCCAGGACACAGAAUACACCUCACACAGUGCAAGGAAACUUCUGGAGGCCAUCCCUAACAACAGCAGCAGCUUGGCAGCCAGAGGUGUGCAGCAGCAGUUUUCGUAGGGUUGCCAUAGCAGCACCACCGAUGGCAACCUGCAAACAGUGCAAUCCAGCCUCACGCUGCCUUUCCUGCUGCAGAGAGCACAGAGACAGUCAAAGAGACGGCUUCCGCCAAGACCAGCAAAACCACAAGCAGCAGCAGAAAGCACCCCCCUCCUCUUCCUCCCUGCGUCUCCAUGGUA